GUAUUCCGCUCCAUAGCGUAUAUUAAAGUUGUUGCAGUUAAAAAGCUCGUAGUUGAAUUUCGGGAUCAAUAUGUCGGUCGUGCUUCGGUACGUACUGGCGUUAUUGAUUUCUCCCUUCUGAAGAACCGCGAUGUCAUUAAUUUGGUGUCGUGGGGAAUCAGGACUGUUACUUUGAAAAAAUUAGAGUGUUUAAAGCAGGCUCGCGCUUGAAUACAUUAGCAUGGAAUAAUGAAAUAGGACGUUUGAUUCUAUUUUGUUGGUUUCUAGGAUUGACGUAAUGAUUAAUAGGGAUAGUUGGGGGCAUUAGUAUUCAAUUGUCAGAGGUGAAAUUCUUGGAUUUAUUGAAGACUAACUACUGCGAAAGCAUUUGCCAAGGAUGUUUUCAUUAAUCAAGAACGAAAGUUAGGGGAUCGAAGACGAUCAGAUACCGUCGUAGUCUUAACCAUAAACUAUGCCGACUAGGGAUCGGGUGAUGUUAAUUUUUUAAUGACUCAUUCGGCGCCUUACGGGAAACA
rnacentral:rRNA from 1 species